rnacentral:snRNA from 1 species
ACCUUUGCGCAGUGGCAGUAUUAUAGCCAAUGAGGUGAAUCCGAGGCGUGAUUAUUGCUAGUUGAAAACUUUUCCUUAGGGGUUAUAACAUUAUACCAAGGCUCAAUACAAAGUUUUCUAAAAAG